AAACCAGUCCCUCAAAUAUGAGGAAGUGAUAAGAAAGCACCCUGUUGCUGCAGGAAUAUUGCUCCAUCCCCACUCAUUAAAGGAUUGUAGAACAAAAGUUGCUAAAAUCUGCCACCAGGUGUAUAGUUUGACGAGGGGGAAAGAUAAUCCAUUAAUAUACAAGGUUUUAAAACUCAAUGUAUUGCACUUUUCGGGCUUAAUUCCACAAGUUUUUAUUUGAAAAUAAAAUAAAUGCUUUAUUCGGGCUCAGUGAAAGACUAGACACAUUAAAAUGAUUAAUGCAAGGGCGAUGCAGCAGAACCUCUAUUGCUCCACCGUGUGUAGUUGAUUUAGGAUAUUAGUCUUUUUGCCUAAGCACUGCUGGAUUCCUCGACCUCUUUUUCUCUUCCUUUCCCAGGAACGCUCCAACCUGAAAGGGAGCGCCUUGCACGCAUCAGUCCUGACUUAGAAUCAGCUUAGUUGGAACCAGAAACACGCUGCAUUAAUCUCAAGAGAUUCAACCCUCAUCGUUCCACAAAUUUAGUUUAUAUUUGAUGAACUUAAAGUUGCAUCCCGUCAACAUACAGGUGGGGACGGUGGGUUUAAAACCAGUCCCAUCCCCAGUUUGCCUCAGAAUCCCCAAGGCCAGCAUGACUGCUUGGAGAUCAGGAGUGAAGCUGGGAAUGACCAUUUGGCUACUGCAGCCCUCACCUUGCGCUUUUCCGCAUAGAUUUGUUUUGUGGGGCAGGGGAGAGAACUGGGGCGGUGGUGGAUAAAUUCUGGGGGACCGGGGAAAAGAGAAAAUGAGAGGUGUCCGAAUAAAGUUUUCUAAGUCCUCAAAGAGAAAUGGCACUGACGGAGAACCCGAAAAGAAACAUUCAGAUUCUCCCCAGCAGUGAUUUGCGCUGCAAAGGGCGCAGAAACGCGGCUCUCAGGCCUUGCCUGCGAGUGGGUUAAUUAGAACCAAUCCAGGGUCUGCAGCCCCCGACUCCUCCCUGCGGUUUAGCAGAAGGUAGGCGGGCUGCCCCAGACCUUAAAUACCCACGGGUCGACGCCGGCCAGAACCACGGACAGCUCCCGCCCUGUGGCCCUUGUGUCCUCCCUGCGCUGUGCCGUCUGCAGUUUCACCCGGAGGACGAGGAGUGUGGCUGCAGAUCGGGUCGGCCUGCCCUUGCUCUGCUUCUUCCCCACCCACACUUGGUGGGUGUCUUCUAGGCUGCCCAGCCUUGAACUAAGCACCCCAAGAGGAGUUAGAGCCCGAGGGAUGAGAAAGAGGCGCCCGAUGAAGAUCUAGGUCAGUUCCUCUCUGGGAGCUCAGCUACUGCGCCCGAGAGGCAGCGCUCAGACAGCGGCGAGGAGGCGGCCGCGGAGCCCCCGGAGGAGAUCGGGGAUGAAGGCCUGCUUUGAAAGUUUCCCACGUCGUUCAGAUCUUGACAACUGCCAUCACCUGGUAACCAAUCAUGAAUCUGGUAUGGACCACUUUCACCCUGUACCCUGUCAGACAGUUUCCAUCUUCUCAUAAUCUUCACAAGAAUCCUACAGAAACAAGAUGUACACCCUGAUUUACAGAUGAUGAUCCUUCAGCCCAGAGAUGGUACCACAGGUCUAGAGAACAGAAGUUAAGGGCAGACAUUGUGGAACUGGCUUUGGGCCGUGAAGAGUAAGUAAACCCGUUAUGUAGUAUUCUGGGAUCCAGAGCCUUCCCUGGAAGGGGACAUUUUUAAAGGGAAUAUUUUUCAUCAUGCAGGGUGGGCCAGCAGGUAAUGUUGCUCCAUGAAGAGAGGGCAGUGUCUGCCUUUGGUGCUCCUCUGAAGAUGGGCUCUCUUUACUGAUGGGUUCAGUGGUUGGGAGUGAUCAGUGGGCGGAAGGCUGCUCACAGCCCAUCUCUUAAGAAGUUAACAUAAGUCAAUCCAUACAAUUAGUUCAGAAACCCACUACCUACCUACUCCUGGGAAGGCUACCAGAACUAUUAUAAUCUCACUUUCUUCUGGCCCAAAUGGAGAUAGAUACUUGGUCACACGUGCAUCUUUACUGAGUUUAAAAGUGCUUAUGUGAAGUAUCUUACAAACAUAACAUUUUUAAUCACAUUUAUAAAAAUAUAUUUAAUGAACUCAUCACAAUGACAAAAUGUCGAUAAUAAUAGCCUAGGUUUGUUGUUUUUUUUUAAUGUGCCAAGCUUUACAUAUAUUAACCCACUUAAGCCUUACUAUAACUCUAUGAAGUAUUGACCUAUUUUUUCAGCUGAGGAAAGUGUAGCCCAGAGAUGCUGAGUAAUUGCGUGAUGGAUUGUGUGGUAUUUCUCUAUUAUCUAUCAGGACCCAACAGGAACAGAAGGAAUACUCAAAUUGACUAAACUGGGAGGAAUUCAUUAUGGGGACUGGAUACAAGCAAUGGGCAAGUCGUAAAAAAAUAUAUAUAUAUAAAAGGAAUAGGCAAAGCCCCACCCCUAAGCUUAAAUGGAAAGAAAGAACUUUAACAGUAGCUGUUACAUUGAGUAGAGGGAGGUAGCCAGGCCACAUGGCCCAGCAGGGAGGCAGCUAGGGGAAUAAAUAUGCCAAUCACUCCCCUCUUUCCCUCUGAUCUCCUGCAGCACUCUCCAUCGGCUGAACCCAACUGGAAGUCAGAGGGCAAAGGGUCCAUGACUCAGUCCAUUCAGGCUGACCCGCCUGGGACUCAGAGCAGAGCAGACAAGGGUGGGGAAGGAAAACUAAUGCACUUGGAGAAGCAAACGGGAAAUAUUCAGGCACAUCUGACAUCAGUUUGGCCAAUCAGCUCCCCUCUCUCUGACUGUGAACACAGAGAUACAGAAACUGUCAUUAGAAAUGAAUAAUGUUAAUGAUCCAUGACAGAAAGCUCGUGAAUUUAGCUUGUGAAUUUCUGCUGCUGAGGAGGCUUGAGCUGCUUUCAUUCCUUCUACACAUCGGGAUGGGAACUCCCCAGUGCCUUUCUGAUACAUGGUUACUUCUGCUUCACCUAAUCAAAGGCACUUACUGCCGCUCAAAACCUGAGGCCUCCAACUGAACAAUGCCCAGGUUUUCUCUCCGUCACCUCCUGUUCUCUAGUAUGAGUAGUUAGAUUACUGCUUUUAUGUCUGUCUUCCCAACUACAGUCCACAAAAUGGCUCAUAUUUAACAGUAAUACAAAUAAAGAGAAAAAGGAGAGAAGACAAGAACAAAAAGUAAUGAUUUUAGAAACUUGGAAAGUAGAAACUUCUUUGGUAUGCUGCUGUUGAAAACCACUGGUCUCACCUUCCACUUUCUCACAUUGCUGUUUCAGAGAAAAACUCAGUUAUACUUAAUUAUAGGGCUGUAAUUUUUAUAGGGUUGGUUAUUCUGGUUAGCCAAACUUACUGGUUAUCUGUUGAGAGCCUUUUAAUUUUAAUUCUAGCUGACACAUUUGUUAAAAUAUUAUUAGCUUUCCUUUCUUCCUUAAUGAGUACUGAAUCUUCCCGGAGAAAAAGCUCCCAGUCAUUUACCUGGAAUUUUUAUACAUAUUUGCAGCAGUUCUUUGAGCUCCCUAAAGAACGUAAUUAGAAACAUAACAUUCACUCAGAUUUUCUGCCCUUCUUUGUAAUAAGUCAAUGAGCCAGUCAUUUAUUCCACAAAUAUUUGUUGAUACCUAUUGCGUGCCUGUCUCAGCAGUUCUCCGAGCAGGGGCUACAAAAAUACAAAGACUGUCUUUUCAUGAGGAGCAACUUGGAGUCUUAGCUCUUGGUACUCCCUCUGUCUAGUAAUAUCCCUUUUUAUACUUAGUAUUUUAAUAAAUAACUCUUCCUCAAAUUAUUUUAAAACACAUAGUAACAGAAAAAAAUUAUUUAUUUAUUCUACUUUCUCUUAAUUACCCCUGUGGGGAGCUUGGCAGGGCAGACUCUGGGUUUCCAGCCAAGGUCUUUCUGUCCACCUGGGGGCAGCAGACCCUCACACAGAAAAGUACCUUGAAGGAAGCAAUUGGCUUUCUGAGCUCCUGACUUUCAAACACAAGUCUUCAAAAUUGUGGAUCCAUGAAUAUUCUAAAGACUUAUACUCGAAAGAUGCUUCCAAAAUCAAAUAAAUUUGGGUUGAACCAAGUUCAAUAGGUUUAAACCCUGCAGGACUUCUCACAAUGUUUAAUAUACUUUUUUUCUUUUCUUUUUUCUUUUUUAGACAGUCUCACUCUAUUGCC